rnacentral:rRNA from 1 species
CCUACGGGGGGCAGCAGUGGGGAAUAUUGCACAAUGGGCGCAAGCCUGAUGCAGCCAUGCCGCGUGUAUGAAGAAGGCCUUCGGGUUGUAAAGUACUUUCAGCGGGGAGGAAGGGAGUAAAGUUAAUACCUUUGCUCAUUGACGUUACCCGCAGAAGAAGCACCGGCUAACUCCGUGCCAGCAGCCGCGGUAAUACGGAGGGUGCAAGCGUUAAUCGGAAUUACUGGGCGUAAAGCGCACGCAGGCGGUUUGUUAAGUCAGAUGUGAAAUCCCCGGGCUCAACCUGGGAACUGCAUCUGAUACUGGCAAGCUUGAGUCUCGUAGAGGGGGGUAGAAUUCCAGGUGUAGCGGUGAAAUGCGUAGAGAUCUGGAGGAAUACCGGUGGCGAAGGCGGCCCCCUGGACGAAGACUGACGCUCAGGUGCGAAAGCGUGGGGAGCAAACAGGAUUAGAUACCCAAGUAGUC